CGUGAGGCGGCCGGUUGGAGUCCGGCUCAGGAAUACAUAGCUGCAGCCGCUCCUGCAAGUUCACCCGGAUUUGUCCUGUGCGCCAUCUUCACCAAGAGAUCUGAAGGCGCGGAACACGGCUCCGGCCUGGCCACGCAGCUGAUGAAGUUGUCGAAGUCCAUGCUCCCUCCGGCAUCAGAGUAGCGCGGGAUGUUCACGCAGCUGGAAGCCUGCGGCCUCAGGGGCCCCUGGGGUCUCUGUUGCAGAUGGUCCCGAUGGGCCGGCGUCAAACCGUUUGAUUACGGCCUGCCGCUGUGACACUGUUCCACAGAAUGCCUCCAAAUACCCAAUGUUGAUGGUUACUACAAUCAAUGAAGUUUGUAAUUUAUUGCUCAGAACAACUUCAGGCAGAUGUCUUCCUUCUUUAAUUAACUAAAUACUGGUGCUGUGUUGUCCUGCCGCUGCUGUGCCUCACCUGACCGAUAAAACUGAACCCAGCACUCCUC